rnacentral:rRNA from 1 species
CCUACGGGGGACAGCAGUGGGGAAUAUUGCACAAUGGGGGAAACCCUGAUGCAGCGACGCCGCGUGAGUGAAGAAGUAUUUCGGUACGUAAAGCUCUAUCAGCAGGGAAGAAAAUGACGGUACCUGACUAAGAAGCCCCGGCUAACUACGUGCCAGCAGCCGCGGUAAUACGUAGGGGGCAAGCGUGAUCCGGAUUUACUGGGUGUAAAGGGAGAGUAGACGGCAGUGCAAGUCUGGAGUGAAAUCCCAUGGCUUAACCAUGGAACUGCUUUGGAAACUGUGUAGCUAGAGUGCAGGAGAGGUAAGCGGAAUUCCUAGUGUAGCGGUGAAAUGCGUAGAUAUUAGGAGGAACACCAGUGGCGAAGGCGGCUUACUGGACUGUAACUGACGUUGAGGCUCGAAAGCGUGGGGAGCAAACAGGAUUAGAUACCCUUGUAGUC